GGUCAACGCAAGGAGGGCCGGUUAUGGGACUUACACAUUCGUUGAAUGUCCUCAUGAUAAGUGCAGCGUUCGUAUUCGUAGCCACCAUGCUCUUCAUCUGAAGGGCAUCAGUCCAGUCGGUAAAAAAGGGACUUUAAUACCGUAAAUCCAUUGCAGCAUGAUCGAGCAA
rnacentral:sRNA from 1 species